GAUGAACGCUGGCGGCGUGCCUAAUACAUGCAAGUCGAGCGAACAGACGAGGAGCUUGCUCCUCUGACGUUAGCGGCGGACGGGUGAGUAACACGUGGAUAACCUACCUAUAAGACUGGGAUAAUUUCGGGAAACCGGAGCUAAUACCGGAUAACAUGUUGAACCGUAUGGUUCAACAGUGAAAGACGGUCUUGCUGUCACUUAUAGAUGGAUCCGCGCCGCAUUAGCUAGUUGGUAAGGUAACGGCUUACCAAGGCAACGAUGCGUAGCCGACCUGAGAGGGGGAUCGGCCGCCCUGGAACUGAGACGCGGUCCUGACGCCUACGGGAGGCAGCAGUAGGGAAUCGUCCGCAGUAGUCGGAAGCCUGACAGAGCAGCGCCGCGUGAGUGAAGGAGGUCUUCGGAUCGUAAAACUCUGUUAUUGGUGGAGAACAGAUGUGUAAGUAACUAUGCACGUCGUGACGGUACCUGGUCAGAAAGCCACGGCUAACUACGUG
rnacentral:rRNA from 1 species